CCGUGUUCCCUCCCUCCACCACGAUGGCCUCGACCGUCUCCCACGGCCACCGCCACCACAUCAUCCCACUUCACCUCCCUCUUCCUCGUCUCCGUUGUCGCCAUCGUCGUCUUCUUCCUCGCCUACUCCUCCUCUUAACGGGACAGAGAUUGAGCCGCCGCCGUCGCCGCUACUGAGCCGUCCGCCGUGCGGAAUCCUCUGGUCCGGCGUCCGCGGGAUUGCUUCGAGAGUCCGCCACUGCGCGCUCGUCGCGGGAGGUUUCUAGUCGUUCGGCUCUGCUGCGGCGGCGGCCGGAGUGGCGGCGGUAAUCCUGCUGUCGUUGGCGUACGCGAGAAUGCGGAGCAGGAGGAGGCGGUGGUGGUGGAGCAGGGACAGAGUCCCCGUGGCGGAGGCGAGCGAGAACCCCCUCCUCCUCCUCAUCAGAGACAAGGACCAGAAGAUCAGUCAACUCCUGCAUCAAAUUGCACAGAUGAACGAAUUCAUGUUAGCUCGGCGGUGGGUUCAGGUGCUUCGAGUCGAUCGUUAAUGCUUUUCAUCUCUCAUCAGUCGUCUCUCUGCUGCAGUCGCUCCUUAAAGCUGCUCCAACCGGCACAAGAAUGGACGUGAAAAUGCGAGAAUUUUUGGCUUCUGUUUAUACAUAUAUGUAUGGAGGGAAUACACUUGAACUGCCCAAUGAGUACUGAUUCUGUAAAGACAAAUGGUGACUGCACCAAUCUAUUAUUCUAUUAGUUUGAUAUGUGGAAAUUCCAUCAUUUUGCUGUG